CACGUAGGCGGCUUGGUAAGUCAGAUGUGAAAGCCCGGAGCUUAACCCCGGAAGUGCAUUUGAUACUGCCAAGCUUGAGUAUGGGAGAGGGAAGUGGAAUUCCUGGUGUAGAGGUGAAAUUCGUAGAUAUCAGGAGGAACACCGGUGGCGAAGGCGACUUCCUGGACCAAUACUGACGCUGAGGCGCGAAGGCGUGGGGAGCAAACAGGAUUAGAUACCCUGGUAGUCC
rnacentral:rRNA from 1 species